rnacentral:rRNA from 1 species
CAAUAGCGUAUAUUUAAGUUGUUGCAGUUAAAAAGCUCGUAGUCGGAUUUUGGCUGAGAACGAUCGGUCCGCCGUUAGGUGUGCACUGAUUGGUCUCAGCUUCCUGGUGAGGAGGUGUGCUUCACGGCCACUUAGUCACCGUGGUUACUUUGAAAAAAUUAGAGUGUUCAAAGCGGGCUUACGCUUGAAUAUAUUAGCAUGGAAUAACACCAUAGGACUCCUGUCCUAUUUCGUUGGUCUCGGGACGGGAGUAAUGAUUAAGAGGAACAGUUGGGGGCAUUCGUAUUUCAUUGUCAGAGGUGAAAUUCUUGGAUUUAUGAAAGACGAACUUCUACGAAAGCAUUUGCCAAGGAUGUUUUCAUUGA